rnacentral:rRNA from 1 species
GGAAGUCGAAGGCAAUAACAGGUCUGUGAUGCCCUACGAUGCUCUGGGCCGCACGCGCGCUACACUGACCCGGUCAGCGAGUUCAUCCUGACUUCGAGAGAGUUGGGUAAUCUUGGAAACCGGGUCGUGAUGGGGAUAGAUUCUUGCAAUUUUUGAUCUUCAACGAGGAAUUCCUAGUAAACGCAAGUCAUCAGCUUGCAUUGAUUACGUCCCUGCCCUUUGUACACACCGCCCGUCGCACCUACCGAUUGAAUGAUCCGGUGAAAUCUUCGGAUCAGAAAUCAUUUGACUGUAAAAGGUCAUGGUUUCUGAGAAGUUGAGUAAACCUUAUCAUUUAGAGGAAGGUGAAGUCGUAACAAGGUUUCCGUAGGUGAACCUGCAGAAGGAUCAA